ACCUCUGCCAAGGACAUUAUAUGACAUUUGACACUUAAGCAAGACAUCUCACAAGUGCAGACAUACCCCCAAAAUGUUUUCCGUUUCAGAGGAAAAUACAACUGCAGUUCAGAAAAGACAUUUGUUCAUCCCCCAAAACUAGGUUUCUGACCUUUUGAGAGGAGCCCUAAACUAAGGUGUUAUAUAACCCCCUGCACCCUGCUUGUGGCUCAGUGUUGAGCUAUGAAGAUGAGGUCACUGCUGCUUGUCUGCCUGAUUGUGGUCACACUGACUGUGGCUAUUGCUGCCCCCAAGCAAGAGGGGUCUGAAACGGGCAAAGGAAAAAAGAUUUGUAAAAAAAGACCUGCUUCUCCUGGUGUUGUAUCCUUGCUGGACGGAGAUGGUGAAGAUGCUGGAGGCGGCCAAGCCAGCACAGUAUGGGGUAGAUUUGACAAGGGACAAGAAAAGGUAAUUAGAAUUACAACGUG